rnacentral:rRNA from 1 species
GAGGGUUAGUCGGGACCUAAGCCGAGGCCGAAAGGCGUAGGCGAUGGACAACAGGUUGAUAUUCCUGUACCACUACCAUCGUUAUUAUCGAGGGUGUGACGGAGAAGGAUAGUGUGUGCUAGCGAUUGGAAAUGCUAGUCUAAGCGUUUAGGCAGUUACGGUAGGCAAAUCCGCUGUAAUGUUAAUGCUGAGGCGUGAUGGGGAAGGCCCUUGAGGCUGAAGUACAUGAUUCCAUGCUUCCAAGAAAAGCAUCUAGAGAGAGAAGUAGUGCCCGUACCGCAAACCGACACAGGUAGAUGAGGAGAGAAUCCUAAGGCCGGCGGAAGAAUUGCAGUUAAGGAACUAGGCAAAUUGACCCCGUAAGUUAGCGAGAAGGGGUGCCUACGAGAGUAGGCCGCAGAGAAUAGGCCCAAGCAACUGUUUAGCAAAAACACAGGUCUCUGCUAAAGCGCAAGCUGAUGUAUAGGGGCUGACGCCUGCCCGGUGCUGGAAGGUUAAGGGGAACACUUAGCGCAAGCGAAGGUGUGAACUUAAGCCCCAGUAAACGGCGGCCGUAACUAUAACGGUCCUAAGGUAGCGAAAUUCCUUGUCAGGUAAGUUCUGACCCGCACGAAUGGCGUAAUGAUUUGGGCACUGUCUCAACUGUGAAUCCGGCGAAGUUGUAGUGCGAGUGAAGAUGCUCGCUACCCGCGAUUGGACGGAAAGACCCCGUAGAGCUUUACUGUAGCUUAGCAUUGAAUUUCGGUAUUGUCUGUACAGGAUAGGUGGGAGACUGGGAAACCAGAGCGUCAGCUUUGGCGGAGUCACCCUUGGGAUACCACCCUGAUAGUACUGAGGUUCUAACUGGAUGCCAUGAAUCUGGUGACAGGACAUUGUUAGGUGGGCAGUUUGACUGGGGCGGUCGCCUCCGAAAGUGUAACGGAGGCGCCCAAAGGUUCCCUCAGAACGGUCGGAAAUCGUUCGAAGAGUGCAAAGGCAGAAGGGAGCCUGACUGCGACACCCACAAGUGGAGCAGGGACGAAAGUCGGGCUUAGUGAUCCGGU